UACGAAGGGGGGCUAGCGUUGCUCGGAAUCACUGGGCGUAAAGGGUGCGUAGGCGGGUCUUUAAGUCAGGGGUGAAAUCCUGGCAGCUCAACUCCAGAACUGCCUUUGAUAACUGGCGAUCUUGAGUCCGGGAGAGGUGAGUGGAACUGCGAGUGUAGAGGUGAAAUUCGUAGAUAUUCGCAAGAACACCAGUGGCGAAGGCGGCUCACUGGCCCGGUACUGACGCUGAGGUGCGAAAGCGUGGGGAGCAAACAGG
rnacentral:rRNA from 1 species